UUGCCCUAGUAACGGCGAGUGAAGCGGCAACAGCUCAAAUUUGAAAUCUGGCUUCGGCCCGAGUUGUAAUUUGCAGAGGAUGCUUCUGGCGCGGUGCCUUCCGAGUUCCCUGGAACGGGACGCCAUAGAGGGUGAGAGCCCCGUAUGGUUGGAUACCUAGCCUGUGUGAAGCUCCUUCGACGAGUCGAGUAGUUUGGGAAUGCUGCUCAAAAUGGGAGGUAUAUCUCUUCUAAAGCUAAAUACCGGCCAGAGACCGAUAGCGCACAAGUAGAGUGAUCGAAAGAUGAAAAGCACCUUGAAAAGGGGGUUAAACAGCACGUGAAAUUGUUGAAAGGGAAGCGCCUAUGACCAGACUUGUGCCCGGCGGAUCACCCAGCGUUCUCGCUGGGGCACUCCGCCGGGUCCAGGCCAGCAUCGGUUUUCGCCGGGGGAUAAAGGCUCUGGGAACGUAGCUCCUCUGGGAGUGUUAUAGCCCUCUGCGUAAUACCCUGGCGGGGACCGAGGUACGCGCUCCGCAAGGAUGCUGGCGUAAUGGUCAUCAGCGACCCGUCUUGAAACACGGAUCAAGGAGUCGUCCAUUAGAGCGAGCGUUUGGGUGUCAAACCCGCACGCGUAAUGAAAGUGAACGUAGGUGAGAGCUUCGGCGCAUCAUCGACCGAUCCUGAUGUCCUCGGAUGGAUUUGAGUAUGAGUUUUACUGGACGGACCCGAAAGAUGGUGAACUAUGCCUGUAUAGGGUGAAGCCAGAGGAAACUCUGGUGGAGGCUCGCAGCGGUUCUGACGUGCAAAUCGAUCGUCAAAUAUGGGCA
rnacentral:rRNA from 1 species